UACGGAGGGGGCUAGCGUUGUUCGGAAUUACUGGGCGUAAAGCGCACGUAGGCGGCUUUGUAAGUUAGAGGUGAAAGCCCGGGGCUCAACUCCGGAAUUGCCUUUAAGACUGCAUCGCUAGAAUUGUGGAGAGGUAAGUGGAAUUCCGAGUGUAGAGGUGAAAUUCGUAGAUAUCUGGAGGAACACCGGUGGCGAAGGCGGCAUCCUGGACCAUUACUGACGCUGAGGAGCGAAAGCCAGGGGAGCAAACGGG
rnacentral:rRNA from 1 species